GGAGAAAUUCCAAUCGAACCCGGAUAUAGCUGGUUCUCCCCGAAAUAGCUUUAGGGCUAGCCUCGAAUAUAUUUACCGGAGGUAAAGCACUGAAUGGUCGAGGGGUCGAGAGACUACCAACACCUAUCAAACUAAGAAUACCGGAUAAAUGAGUUCGGGAGUCAGACUACGUGAGAUAAGUCUCGUGGUCAAAAGGGAAACAGCCCAGACCCACAGCUAAGGUCCCCAAUGUAUGCUAAGUGGAAAACGAUGUGACAAUGCUAAGACAACUAGGAUGUUGGCUUAGAAGCAGCCACUCAUUCAAAGAGUGCGUAAUAGCUCACUAGUCGAGUGAUGUUGCGCGGAAAAUUCAACGGGGCUAAGCAUACAACCGAAGCUUGGGCAGUAGAAAUACUGGGUAGGGGAGCGUUCUGUACGGGCAGAAGCAUCAGCGGAAGCAGAUGUGGACUGUACAGAAGUGAGAAUGCCGGAAUGAGUAGCGAGAAUUGUGUGAGAAUCAUAAUGGCCGAAAAUCUAAGGUUUCCGGGGGUAGGGUCGUCCACCCCGGGUUAGCCGGGAGCUAAGGCGAGGCCGCGAGGCGUAGUCGAUGCACAAACGGUAGAGAUUCCGUUGCCGCCAGAUCUUAAGUAACUGACACGAGGGUAGAGUUCAACCCGGCCGAUGGUAGAGCCGGGCGAAAGGGACUGAAGAAUAGUAGGGAAGUGGACGAAGCCAGCGGCGAGAAAAGGUUAUGUAUGAAAUCAGGCGCCCGUACCGCAAACCGACACAGGUAGAUGAGGAGAGGAUCCUAAGGCCAGCGGGAGAAGGGUUGUUAAGGAACUCGGCAUAUUGACCCCGUAACUUCGGAAGAAGGGGUGCCUCCGUAAGGAGGCCGCAGUGAAAAGGCCCAGGCAACUGUUUAUCAAAAACACAGGUUUCUGCAAAAGCGAAAGCUGAAGUAUAGGAGCUGACGCCUGCCCGGUGCUGGAAGGUCAAGGGGAUCGCUUAGCGCAAGCGAAGGCGAGAACUUAAGCCCCAGUAAACGGCGGCCGUAACUAUAACGGUCCUAAGGUAGCGAAAUUCCUUGCCAGGUAAGUUCUGGCCUGCACGAAUGGCGUAAUGAUCUGGGCACUGUCUCAACAGCCCGCCCGGCGAAAUUGUAGUACCGGUGAAGAUGCCGGUUUCCUGCGACUAGACGGAAAGACCCCAUGGAGCUUUACUGUAGUCUGAUACUGAAAUUUGGUUCAUUAUGCACAGGAUAGGUGGGAGACAGAGAAACCCGGGCUUUGGCUUGGGCGGAGUCGCCGUUGGGAUACCACUCUUGAUGAACCAAGUUUCUAACCUGCUCCCGUGAUCCGGGAGGGGGACAAUGUCAGAUGGGCAGUUUGACUGGGGCGGUCGCCUCCAAAAGAGUAACGGAGGCGUUCAAAGGUUGGCUCAGCGCGGACGGAAAUCGCGCAAUGAGUGCAAACGCAGAAGCCAGCCUAACUGCGAGACCCACAAGUCGAGCAGUAACGAAAGUUGGAGUUAGUGAUCAGGUGGUAGUGAGUGGAAAUGCC
rnacentral:rRNA from 1 species